GACGAACGCUGGCGGCGUGCUUAACACAUGCAAGUCGAGCGGUAAGGCCCUUUCGGGGGUACACGAGCGGCGAACGGGUGAGUAACACGUGGGUGACCUGCCCUCAGCUCUGGGAUAAGCCUGGGAAACUGGGUCUAAUACUGGAUAUGACUCCACGGUGCAUGUCGUGGGGUGGAAAGCCUUGUGCGGCUGAGGAUGGGCCCGCGGCCUAUCAGCUUGUUGGUGGGGUGANGGCCUACCAAGGCGACGAUCGGUAGCUGGUCUGAGAGGACGACCAGCCACACUGGGACUGAGACACGGCCCAGACUCCUACGGGAGGCAGCAGUGGGGAAUAUUGGACAAUGGGCGCAAGCCUGAUCCAGCGAUGCCGCGUGUGUGAAGAAGGCCUGCGGGUUGUAAAGC
rnacentral:rRNA from 1 species